AUUGAACGCUGGCGGCAGGCCUAACACAUGCAAGUCGAGCGGUAACAGAUCUAGCUUGCUAGAUGCUGACGAGCGGCGGACGGGUGAGUAAUGCAUAGGAAUCUGCCCGRUAGUGGGGGAUAACCUGGGGAAACCCAGGCUAAUACCGCAUACGUCCUACGGGAGAAAGGGGGCUUCGGCUCCCGCUAUUGGAUGAGCCUAUGUCGGAUUAGCUAGUUGGUGAGGUAAAGGCUCACCAAGGCUGCGAUCCGUAGCUGGUCUGAGAGGAUGAUCAGCCACAUCGGGACUGAGACACGGCCCGAACUCCUACGGGAGGCAGCAGUGGGGAAUAUUGGACAAUGGGGGCAACCCUGAUCCAGCCAUGCCGCGUGUGUGAAGAAGGCCCUCGGGUUGUAAAGCACUUUCAGCGAGGAAGAACGCCUAGCGGUUAAUACCCGUUAGGAAAGACAUCACUCGCAGAAGAAGCACCGGCUAACUCCGUGCCAGCAGCCGCGGUAAUACGGAGGGUGCAAGCGUUAAUCGGAAUUACUGGGCGUAAAGCGCGCGUAGGUGGCUUGAUAAGCCGGUUGUGAAAGCCCCGGGCUCAACCUGGGAACGGCAUCCGGAACUGUCAGGCUAGAGUGCAGGAGAGGAAGGUAGAAUUCCCGGUGUAGCGGUGAAAUGCGUAGAGAUCGGGAGGAAUACCAGUGGCGAAGGCGGCCUUCUGGACUGACACUGACACUGAGGUGCGAAAGCGUGGGUAGCAAACAGGAUUAGAUACCCUGGUAGUCCACGCCGUAAACGAUGUCGACCAGCCGUUGGGUGCCUAGCGCACUUUGUGGCGAAGUUAACGCGAUAAGUCGACCGCCUGGGGAGUACGGCCGCAAGGUUAAAACUCAAAUGAAUUGACGGGGGCCCGCACAAGCGGUGGAGCAUGUGGUUUAAUUCGAUGCAACGCGAAGAACCUUACCUACCCUUGACAUCUACAGAAGCCGGAAGAGAUUCUGGUGUGCCUUCGGGAACUGUAAGACAGGUGCUGCAUGGCUGUCGUCAGCUCGUGUUGUGAAAUGUUGGGUUAAGUCCCGUAACGAGCGCAACCCUUGUCCUUAUUUGCCAGCGAGUAAUGUCGG
rnacentral:rRNA from 1 species